UUUUUUUAAAUAUAAACCACAAACUGUAGAGAUAAUCCACUGCCAAAAUUUAUAUGGAUACAUCUUUUUGUGUGUUAACUAUAUAAACAAAGAUAAAUAAAGCACAACAAUUUAUAUAUAUACAGAUCACAAAACCGAUGUAGUUAAUUAAUAGAGGAAAAAACAAUAGUGUUGUGGUACAUUGUUGGAACAAUGGUUUCAUCAGGUAAUAUUUAAUUGUCCUUGUACUCUUUAGCAAGCCGUGCUUCAAAGCCGCCUCCUUCUUUCUUCUCAAGUGAGUAAGGCAUAUAAGUUCCAAGGAUUCUAUCCCACAUGACAAAGAAUGGCUG
rnacentral:misc_RNA from 1 species